rnacentral:rRNA from 1 species
ACAAGUAGUCAGAGCCCGUUAAUGGGUGAUGGCGUGCCUUUUGUAGAAUGAACCGGCGAGUUACGAUUUGAUGCAAGGUUAAGCAGUAAAUGUGGAGCCGUAGCGAAAGCGAGUCUGAAUAGGGCGUUUAGUAUUUGGUCGUAGACCCGAAACCAGGUGAUCUACCCUUGGUCAGGUUGAAGUUCAGGUAACACUGAAUGGAGGACCGAACCGACUUACGUUGAAAAGUGAGCGGAUGAACUGAGGGUAGCGGAGAAAUUCCAAUCGAACCUGGAGAUAGCUGGUUCUCUCCGAAAUAGCUUUAGGGCUAGCCUCAAGUGAUGAUUAUUGGAGGUAGAGCACUGUUUGGACGAGGGGCCCCUCUCGGGUUACCGAAUUCAGACAAACUCCGAAUGCCAAUUAAUUUAACUUGGGAGUCAGAACAUGGGUGAUAAGGUCCGUGUUCGAAAGGGAAACAGCCCAGACCACCAGCUAAGGUCCCAAAAUAUAUGUUAAGUGGAAAAGGAUGUGGCGUUGCCCAGACAACUAGGAUGUUGGCUUAGAAGCAGCCAUCAUUUAAAGAGUGCGUAAUAGCUCACUAGUCGAGUGACACUGCGCCGAAAAUGUACCGGGGCUAAACAUAUUACCGAAGCUGUGGAUUGUCCUUUGGACAAUGGUAGGAGAGCGUUCUAAGGGCGUUGAAGCAUGAUCGUAAGGACAUGUGGAGCGCUUAGAAGUGAGAAUGCCGGUGUGAGUAGCGAAAGACGGGUGAGAAUCCCGUCCACCGAUUGACUAAGGUUUCCAGAGGAAGGCUCGUCCGCUCUGGGUUAGUCGGGUCCUAAGCUGAGGCCGACAGGCGUAGGCGAUGG